rnacentral:rRNA from 1 species
UGGGCACCAGGGGAACCGCAAGAGAGACUAUAGAUCAGGUGGAUUUAAAUCUGUGCUCUGGUAGACCUUAACGGCGGACGGGUGAGUAACACGUGGGUAACCUGCCCAUAAGACUGGGAUAACUCCGGGAAACCGGGGCUAAUACCGGAUAACAUUUUGAACCGCAUGGUUCGAAAUUGAAAGGCGGCUUCGGCUGUCACUUAUGGAUGGACCCGCGUCGCAUUAGCUAGUUGGUGAGGUAACGGCUCACCAAGGCAACGAUGCGUAGCCGACCUGAGAGGGUGAUCGGCCACACUGGGACUGAGACACGGCCCAGACUCCUACGGGAGGCAGCAGUAGGGAAUCUUCCGCAAUGGACGAAAGUCUGACGGAGCAACGCCGCGUGAGUGAUGAAGGCUUUCGGGUCGUAAAACUCUGUUGUUAGGGAAGAACAAGUGCUAGUUGAAUAAGCUGGCACCUUGACGGUACCUAACCAGAAAGCCACGGCUAACUACGUGCCAGCAGCCGCGGUAAUACGUAAGUGGCAAGCGUUAUCCGGAAUUAUUGGGCGUAAAGCGCGCGC